AGAGUUUGAUCCUGGCUCAGGACGAACCCUGGCGGCGUGCCUAACACAUGCAAGUCGAACGCGUCUGUGCUUCGGCACAGAUGAGUGGCGAACGGGUGAGUAACGCGUGAGUAACUCCCCUUGGGGAGGGGGAUAACCAUCUGAAAAGGUGGCUAAUACCCCAUAUUCUCUUUUCUCACAAGAGGAAGGAGGAAAGGUGGCGCAAGCUGCCACCCCGAGAGAGGCUCGCGUCCCAUCAGCUAGUUGGUAGGGUAAUGGCCUACCAAGGCUAUGACGGGUAGCUGGUCUGAGAGGAUGGUCAGCCACACUGGGACUGAGACACGGCCCAGACUCCUACGGGAGGCAGCAGUGAGGAAUCUUGGGCAAUGGGCGAAAGCCUGACCCAGCGACGCCGCGUGGAGGAAGAAGGCCUUCGGGUCGUAAACUCCUGUUUGGGGAGAAGAACAAGAGAGAAGUUAAUAGCUUCUCUCUCUGACGGUAUCCCCGGAGAAAGCUCCGGCUAAUUACGUGCCAGCAGCCGCGGUAAUACGUAAGGAGCGAGCGUUGUCCGGAAUUACUAGGCGUAAAGGGCAGUCAGGCGGAUCUGCGAGUUUUUUGUUAAAGGCUACGGCUCAACCGUAGUAAGGCAGGAGGUACUGUAGAUCUGGAAUUUGGUAGAGGAAGACAGAAUUCCUGGUGUAGCGGUGGAAUGCGCAGAGAUCAGGAGGAAUACCGAAGGCGAAGGCAGUCUUCUGGGCCGAUAUUGACGCUUAACUGCGAAGGUGUGGGGAUCAAACAGGAUUAGAUACCCUGGUAAUCCCGCGGCCAUGGCGGCCGGAGCAU
rnacentral:rRNA from 1 species